ACGUAGGGGGCUAGCGUUGUCCGGAAUCAUUGGGCGUAAAGCGCGUGUAGGCGGCCCGGUAAGUCCGCUGUGAAAGUCGGGGGCUCAACCCUCGGAUGCCGGUGGAUACUGUCGGGCUUGAGUACGGAAGAGGCGAGUGGAAUUCCUGGUGUAGCGGUGAAAUGCGCAGAUAUCAGGAGGAACACCAACGGCGAAGGCAGCUCUCUGGGACGUAACUGACGCUGAGACGCGAAAGCUAGGGGAGCGAACGGGA
rnacentral:rRNA from 1 species